rnacentral:rRNA from 1 species
AAGUCGAGCGAACGGACGAGAAGCUUGCUUCUCUGAUGUUAGCGGCGGACGGGUGAGUAACACGUGGAUAACCUACCUAUAAGACUGGGAUAACUUCGGGAAACCGGAGCUAAUACCGGAUAAUAUUUUGAACCGCAUGGUUCAAAAGUAAAAGACGGUCUUGCUGUCACUUAUAGAUGGAUCCGCGCUGCAUUAGCUAGUUGGUAAGGUAACGGCUUACCAAGGCAACGAUGCAUAGCCGACCUGAGAGGGUGAUCGGCCACACUGGAACUGAGACACGGUCCAGACUCCUACGGGAGGCAGCAGUAGGGAAUCUUCCGCAAUGGGCGAAAGCCUGACGGAGCAACGCCGCGUGAGUGAUGAAGGUCUUCGGAUCGUAAAACUCUGUUAUUAGGGAAGAACAUAUGUGUAAGUAACUGUGCACAUCUUGACGGUACCUAAUCAGAAAGCCACGGCUAACUACGUGCCAGCAGCCGCGGUAAUACGUAGGUGGCAAGCGUUAUCCGGAAUUAUUGGGCGUAAAGCGCGCGUAGGCGGUUUUUUAAGUCUGAUGUGAAAGCCCACGGCUCAACCGUGGAGGGUCAUUGGAAACUGGAAAACUUGAGUGCAGAAGAGGAAAGUGGAAUUCCAUGUGUAGCGGUGAA